UUGGGAGGAUGGAGCUGCUUCAGGCGUCGAGUGGCGGACGGGUGAGUAACGCUUAGGAAUCUGCCCAGUAGUGGGGGACAACAUUCGGAAACGGAUGCUAAUACCGCAUACGCACUACGGUGGAAAGUGGGGGAUCUUCGGACCUCACGCUAUUGGAUGAGCCUAAGUCGGAUUAGCUAGUUGGUGGGGUAAAGGCCUACCAAGGCGACGAUCCGUAGCUGGUCUGAGAGGACGAUCAGCCACACUGGGACUGAGACACGGCCCAGACUCCUACGGGAGGCAGCAGUGGGGAAUAUUGGACAAUGGGCGCAAGCCUGAUCCAGCAAUGCCGCGUGUGUGAAGAAGGCCUGCGGGUUGUAAAGCACUUUCAGUAAGGAAGAAAAGCCUAGAGUUAAUACCUCUGAGUCUUGACGUUACUUACAGAAGAAGCACCGGCUAACUCCGUGCCAGCAGCCGCGGUAAUACGGAGGGUGCGAGCGUUAAUCGGAAUUACUGGGCGUAAAGCGCGCGUAGGCGGCUUUGUAAGUCGGACGUGAAAUCCCCGGGCUUAACCUGGGAACUGCAUUCGAUACUGCAGAACUAGAGUAUGGUAGAGGGAAGUGGAAUUUCCGGUGUAGCGGUGAAAUGCGUAGAUAUCGGAAGGAACACCA
rnacentral:rRNA from 1 species